rnacentral:rRNA from 1 species
UGGUGACUAUAGCAAGGAGGUCACACCUGUUCCCAUGCCGAACACAGAAGUUAAGCUCCUUAGCGUCGAUGGUAGUCAAAAGUAAACACAAAGAAAAAUGGCUUGGCGAAGU